rnacentral:tRNA from 1 species
GUAAAUAUAGUUUAAAAAAAACAUUAGACUGUGAAUCUGAUUAUAGGAGCUUGUAUCUCCUUAUUUGCC